rnacentral:rRNA from 1 species
AACGAACGCUGGCGGCAGGCCUAACACAUGCAAGUCGAGCGGCAGCGGGAAAGUAGCUUGCUACUUUUGCCGGCGAGCGGCGGACGGGUGAGUAAUGCCUGGGAAAUUGCCCAGUCGAGGGGGAUAACAGUUGGAAACGACUGCUAAUACCGCAUACGCCCUACGGGGGAAAGCAGGGGACCUUCGGGCCUUGCGCGAUUGGAUAUGCCCAGGUGGGAUUAGCUAGUUGGUGAGGUAAUGGCUCACCAAGGCGACGAUCCCUAGCUGGUCUGAGAGGAUGAUCAGCCACACUGGAACUGAGACACGGUCCAGACUCCUACGGGAGGCAGCAGUGGGGAAUAUUGCACAAUGGGGGAAACCCUGAUGCAGCCAUGCCGCGUGUGUGAAGAAGGCCUUCGGGUUGUAAAGCACUUUCAGCGAGGAGGAAAGGUUGAUGCCUAAUACGUAUCAACUGUGACGUUACUCGCAGAAGAAGCACCGGCUAACUCCGUGCCAGCCGCUGCCGUAAGAC